CUCAGCAUCCCGAGGGCUGGGAUUACAGGCGUACAUGCCAUUCAUCUGAGGUUGUGUAUACGCCCUCAAAGACAGAAUGCCCAUCUGCCUGGCAGUACUGCCCUGUGGAAUGGGGUUUGGGGGCAUCUUAAGAGGAAGUGGGAAGGCUGCGCCCGCUGCUAACCCGCUGCUGUAAUGCAUGGAAGAUGCUUACGACAGAUUCACUGAGUUCCUGAGAAGCAGUCUGUGCCAGAGGGUCUGUCAAGCGCUUCCCCACCCAGGCUUGGGUGCCUGCACGGUGUCCCCAGGCCUUGUGUCCACAGCCCUGUCUGCUUGGA